GCUCCCUCCUCCCUCCCUCCCUCGCCCGCCUCAGCCAGGAGCCUCGGCGCUGCGCUCCCUCACAGCCCCGCUCGCCCGCCCGCCCGCCCGCCGCUCGCCCACAAAGCUCCGCGUCCUUGGCUCCCUCGCAGAGGCCUCCUGCUCCCCCCUCGACACCGCAGGACGCUGCUGCUGCUGCUGCUACGCGAGGGGAGGCUGGAGCCCCGGAGCCCCGCCGACGAGGAGAGGACGAGGAGGACCCCAGCUCCCAGACCCGCAGAGUUGUGGAAUGCUGUGAAGACUUCCCUGGCCCCACAGUCAUAGACGAAAUACCGAAAUACGUUUGGAACUAUUUUCAGCUGAAGGAUAUCUUUCAUCUAUUAAAGAGUUUUCACGUCUUCCACAAUGAAUCCAGUUUACAGCCCCGUUCAACCUGGGGCUCCUUAUGGAAACCCUAAGAACAUGGCCUAUACAGGGAGCUGCGGCUACUUGGAUGGUGAAAGAUAUGGGCGGCUGCUGGAGAAUUAUCAGGAGUAGACUUGCAUGCCAAUACAGUCCCCCUCCACUCUUCCAAAUUAACUGUUAAAUAAAGCUUGUUCAUUCCAAGA